rnacentral:lncRNA from 1 species
UUUUUUUUUUUUUUUUUGAUAAAAUUUAAUUUUCGAAAAGUGAGGUUGAAACUCUUGGUCCAAGCUGGUUAAGGCAUGUUUGUGGGGAAUACAAAUAACUCCACUAACUCGGUUUCCAAGGCUCUUGGAAUUUUCAUAUUAUUCUCUCAUGGGAGAGAAAACAAAAGAGAAAUGUAAGGGAACUCUGUAUAGACUUUUGGAUACUGUUAAUAUUGUAAUCAUUAAAUUAAAAAUUUGAGGUAACAAAGAGUCGAGUUUCACUUUUAAAAGAAUCAUCUUAACAUUUCCGAAAGAAAAAAAACAUUAGAAAUGGAUGGGGUUGAUUUUUCAGUGUGUGUAAACGUGGCUUGUUUUGCUGCAUACAAAAGUUGGAAAUAGAAUCUUAUUCGGAUUGUUUUUGUGAGAAUUCAGAUGAUCAAUCAUUUAUGUCUGUUCAUUAUCUAUUGUGCGGUAAAAAAAUUUUAUUUAAAAUUGAAUAAAAACAAUACUAAUAAAACUAAUCGCACGAUAUAUAAUAACCGUACAUAAUGAAUUAAUCUUUUAGAUCCUCACAAACAUAAUUCAGAUAAAAUCCUCAUCCCAAAAGUUGCAAAUUUUCCACAGAGAUCAAGACAAGAAAACAAAUAAUAAUAAUAAUGGCCAACUUUAUGGAUUUAUUACCUUAUUAUUGUUUAGAUAGGGUUAGGGUUUAGGGAGGAUGAGGUGAGUACGUGGUGGGUCAUUUGCAUGGAACCCUGUGCAUGCAUGGAACUUCGAAGCAGACAAAUGGGCCGGAUAAAUUUCAGCCGAAUGGAAAAAAGGCUGGAUGAUUGAGAGCAAUAAAACACUGUUAGUUUAAAACAUGUAUUUAACGUUAAUUAUAUAAGAAAGCUAACGAAAAGUUCUUAAAAAUUUUAGUUUUUAAUCAAAAUUAUACAGUAAAAGUGUAGAUGAAUAGUAUCAGAAGUGACUUUUCAAGGUAAAAAUAUCCUUAACGUUAAAAGUGAACAAUAUUGAAAAUGUUUCAUUAAGAUUUCCUAAUUAUAUUCAUCAAGAUUAAUGAAGCUAAUUAAGAAUGAAAUAAUAAUAAACAGGAGGGAAGGAAAAGAAAGGGUUCCCAACUUAAGCAACGUUAAGAUGAUCCUUUCUGCAGAGUUAGCAUGCAUAUUCCUACCCCCAUCAUCAAACCGUAUCACAUGAAGAUAAUAUAUAUAUAUAUAUAUAUAUAUAUAUAUAUAUAUAUAUAUCGUUUUGCCCAUGCACGUUUGAUGCUUCAAACUUUAUAGCUAAAUCAUUAUAUUUUCAAUUUCAGUGGGUUUAAUGAUAUAUACCUUUUCUAAUCAAAUGUCCUAGGUUUUCCUCUUUUCACACUGUUUUAGCAAGGAAGGAGGUAUAAAUGUCUUUUCACACUAUGCAUUUUUCACACUCCUCACAAGUAAUGGUAAUACUCAUCAUUCUACUUAUUAUUAUUGGAGAGUUUAAAUUUUAAGAUUUGUAUUUAUUCACUACACAUAUCUCACAAAUCUUGAAAAAUUAAACUUGUCCAACGUUAAUAAAUACAAUGGUAAACUCAAGGGUGGUGAGCAAAUAAAUAUCCAUAAAAAUAUCAAUGGUUUAUGGGGGUGCAACUUGGAUUGGGUCAACUCGAAUCCAUCAUGCCUAACUCGAUUUCAAAUUCGACUGGAGGGUUAAAAUAUAAAUUAAAUAAAUAAACUCGCCCAAACCCAAUUAUUAUUGGGUUGGGAUGAUGCAUUGUCUGCCCAUGUCAACCCAAACCGAUUUUAGCCCCAAUUCGCUCAUGCACAUAUUACCCAUCCCACUUCAUUAUGUAUAAGUUCUGGAAUGACUAUAUACUUGAAGUUUAUUGUCGGUUUUCAUAUGGAUAAUGAAUUAUAGUGUUACUUUUUUUUUUCUUUUGGUUGAAGCUUUGUAUACAUCAUGUAGUUUAAUUUCAACUUUGCAUAGUUGAAAUAUAGUCUCCAAGUUGUUUGCUUAACUUUUGUGUAGAUGAUGAUGUGUACAUGGAACUUUAAUUGAUUAAUAUUGAUGUUGUUUGGUUUGAAAUUUGAAAAAUCAUGCUUAUAAGAUUGAACAUGACAAAAUUGGUCGAACCCAAACCCAAACCUAACCCAAAUAAGUCCAAACUCAACUCAAAUUGGAAUUGUGAAGAUUGGAUUAAAAUUGUGUUGACGAUCGAUCCAACCUGCCAAUCCGCGGAGUUGCCCACCUAAUGGUUUGAACAAAUGGUUGCAUUAUUAGAUUAGUUGAUUACCUUAAUGCAGACGGAAGCAAACAUUUGAGUUUGGCUUAUACAAUGGGGCUAAGUUAAGUAAACCAACAGACAAAGAAAAUGGAUACAUCUAUAUGACAUGAUAAGGCAGAAGUCUAUAAAGACGAAGCAUUAGUCAGCGCUCAGAUUCUCUUUCUUCCAAAAAAGUUUUAAUUAUGACGGAAACACGUGUGGUACAUUACAUGUUUUUAUAUUAGAAUUUUUAUUUUUUAAGUUAUUAAUUUUUUAACACAUAAAUCUCACUAUUUAUAAAAUGACAUAUAAUGUACCACUUCAUGUGAUAAUCACACUGAAAAGUCUCUCAUUUAUUUCUCUUUGCCUAUUAUUUCCUCUAUUAAUUGUAUAAAACAAUUAUUUCGCAUUUUGAAUUGUCAAAGAACAGAUGGAUAAGUUGGUGGAAGGUGAUCUUGAUCAAACGGCUUGUGUUUUGACAACAAUUAUGUGUGGUAAUUGUCGUGAAAGUUGACAAUUUGAUACAUCAUGGAGCAAGUAGAUGGGACCCAUUACGCAUUAAGGUUUGGGGGCCCCAGCUUCUACUCGUAGAAUUUGUGGACUAGCAUUUUUCAUGCUGUGCCUCACUGAGUGGCCUCCUACAGUCCUACUACAUCUGGGCCGUCAAAAUACAUUUAAAAGUUGAUCAUAGUCGUUAAUUAAAUUAUUAAACAACACCAUGUUUUAACUUUUACGUCUUGAUUACGUCAUUUUUACAUCAAUUGAACACUGAUAACUUUUAAAUUUGGGGAACUAUAACGAAAAGCUCAUAGUAUUAUUCAUUUUAACGAAAAAUCACAUUUUACCAUAUUUUUGUACUAUUCAAUUUACUUUUUAUUUUGUCCUUACCGUUAAAACUCAAGGUUUUCAAGUCAUUUUCAUUAAUUUUUCUUUAAAUUUUUUAUUGUGAAUGUAAUUAUGGUAUUUACUCACGCCGAUCAAUUUUCUAAGAGUGUAACUUAUAGAUAAUAUGGAGAACCUAACUGUAUUAGGAGAAAAGAGAGGUGAUCAAGAAUUUAGUUAAUUUUCUGCAUCUAAACACUGCACAUAUAUUCAAUACACUACAUGAAAUUCAAGUUUAAGAUUUCAGAUUUAAGUUGCAAGGCAAAUGAAUAAUGUGAAUAUGAUUAUAAGAGAAAUGCUAGUAGUACUAUCUCAAAAGUGAGAUUUGUCAUUGAAUUUUUGUCAUAUUUCUAACAUAACGUUUUAUAAUGUUGGUACGAGAUUUAAAGUUAAAUUUUACAAAGAGUUCAUAAAGAGUCACCUUUUUGAGAGAAUCUCUUAGCAUUCCUCCAUCUAUAUUCAAGGAAGUAAAAUGCUAAGAAGACUCUCUUAAGUAAAGCUGGAUUCUUCAUGGAGUCUCUGACAUCUCAUCUUUUUGGCACAAUAUUUUAUAUUGUUAGCACGUGAAUUGUGUGUCAAAUAUAUGGAGUAGAGAAAAAUCGUAAUUUUGAGAGAGUAUUCUUAACAGAAAACUAAAUAACAAAUUAAGAUUAUCCAUCAACAUCCCGAGUCCCAACCCCAAUUUCAGGAUUCAACAUCAUUCCAACCAGAAAAGGGAGGAGAGAAAGCAAGUAACAUCCAGAAGGAGUUAAUAAAAAAGAAAAUAAAAUUACAAUCAUUGGAUACUCAAGAUAUAUCUAGUUGCCGUCGUCCUCGUGAGGAAAAACCAAUAAAGCGCCAUGUGUCCCUUCACUGUCCAGGGAUUGGUGGACAGGAAGCGGCGCGUGAGGCCUCGAUUAGUCCAUUUCAUCUAGCACGGCGUGGGUUUCCACUCCCCAACCCCCGAUUUACCCGUUUCCGGUCAAAUACGGCGCCAUAUUGGACCAGAAAGCAGCGUCCAACCGAGCCAACACGCACGCUUCCGCAUUGGAUCCCUCGUAGGCUCAUAUAGAUCAUAGGCAUGUAAAAGCCGAAAUAAACAAAGAAAAAGAGUUACUUUUCUUCUAUUUUUUUAACUGUGGUUAAUGGAGGCCACGUAACACUGCCCACCAAAAACUCAACGGUGAUAAUGCAUGUGUCUCUUUGUACUAAUUUGUGCGUUAAAUACUGUGACACAUUUUAUAAUUAUUUUUUUGUUAAAGAAUUAUUAUUGACACUUCAAAAUUCUUAUUCUACACUUCAAACUUUUAUAUAUUUAGAAAGAAAAAUACACUUAUGAAAAGUGUAAAAUGAGAUUUUUAUAGUGCCAACAAUACUUCCCUUUUAUUAUAUUAAUUCAGAGAGUUUUAACGAAAUACUUCAUGAUACUAUUCACUUUUAAUGAAAUCCCACAUUUUCACAUUUAUCUGGUACUAUUCACUACAUAUUUAUUUGUCAUUUUUCAUUCAAACUAAAGUUUUUUUGAACGUUUUGUUAGUUUUCCUUUUAAUUUAAGGAAUUAUUAUUAGCACUCCAAACUUUCUAUGAAUUUAUUAUCUUGGAUUCUGGAUUUGGAUCCUCUAUGAGGCAACUAGUAGGGAUCCUUCUUACCAGUGUUUGUGGACCGUUGAAUUUUUAUCCAAAGGAUACAAACAGAAAUGUCCUUUAAAAAUUAUAAUAAUUAUAACCGCUGGAUAAAAAUUCAACAAUUCACGAACACUGAUCAGAAGAAACAUGAUCAGUUGCCUCAGAAAUGAUCAAAAUCCUUGGAUUCUUAGGCUUUGAAGAAUGAUUUGCUAGAUUAUAAAUCCCAUCUUAAAAAUAUAUUUACUUUACUUGGCCUUCCCCUUUCAUUUGUGGGGCCCUAUAUUUAUUCGUUUGUCUUGUCUUGGAUUGCAUUGUCACCUUUGAUAUGAUGUAUCAUUGUACACUAUGCCAACAUGAUUCGGGUAAUAAUAAAAUUGAUUAAAUCUUUUUAUUUUUAAUCUUAAUUUAAUUGUAUUAUAACACUUAAUGUAUCAUAAUUAGUGUGAUUUAACUUUGAAAUAAAAAAAGAAUUGGAUACUAACGGGAGCAAUUUGUGUGGAAUUAGUUCACCGCCAUCACGUGGUUUCAUCCUGAACGUGACGUGACACAAACCCCAUUUCUUAUAUGUCAUACUCAGGGUUAAUUGGCACCGCUCAAAGCCCUUGGUCUUUGGAUCCGUAUAAACUCAUCUAGCAACCAGUAAUUAGUUUUUCUUCGGAAAAUAAGAAAUGAUUUCAGAAAACCUUAAAACAACAAAUAAUAAAAUUAGAGAGUAAAAAAAACUAAUAAAAAGGAUUUGAAAACUUUGAGUUUUAACAAAAAUAACAUAAAGGUGUUAUAAAUGAAUAGUACCAUAAUUGAACAUUUUAGAGUAAAAAUGUGAUUUUUGUGAACACUACCGAGAGCUUUUCGUUAAAGCUCUUAAAAAAAAAGAAUUAAUGAAAAUAGCUUGAAAACUUUGAGUUUUAACGAAAAUGACAAAAUAAAGGGUAAAGUGAAUAGUACAAUGAUCGAAUUUUUAUUUUAAAAAUAUGAUUUUCUGUUAAAAUUAACAAUACUGUGAACUUUUUGUUAAAAUUAAAAAAAAAAGAUAUGAAACAAGUAAUUAUGAAAAGAAUAUAUGUAAAGCUAGAAAAGUUCAAGAGGAACGUUUAAAUAUGAGAACUAGCUCAUAGUCACCUAUAGGCUAUAGCAUUUCAGCACGCAAGUUGUUGAUGGAACAAGUAGGAAAAGAUACAAAAAGAGGGAAAAUGAUUGUCGUCGGGUUCUUUUUUAGGAUGUGAUGUUGAUCAUUCAUUUCAAAAUUUAAAAUUUAAAAUUAAAUAUAAAUAAUAUUUAAUAAAAACUGAUAGUACCAUUUAUCAUCACGUAAUUCCUCGGAUCACCAGGAAAAUGAUCCAGCAACGAUCAUUUCCGCAAAAAUAUAUCAAAACACAGGAAAUCACCAGCUUUCGUGAUUUCAGAGAGACGAGAAAACCCUACUAUAUCAGAAAUCUAAAAUAUUAAGGUAUUCCUCUUUUUUCUAACCCACCGAAGCCGAUAACUUCCUGUCAUUUCAUUUUUCCCCCCUUACUGCUUGCUCUAUACAGCAGAGGUCGCACUUGGUGCGAUGACAAGUGCCUUCGCCCAUGAGCGGUAGGUCUCGGGUUCGAGACUUGGGAGCAGCCUCUCCAUAAAUGGGGGUAAGGCUAGCCGACAUUCACCUCUCCCAGACCCUGCGUAAAGCGGGAGCCUUGUGCACUGGGUACGACUGCUUGCUCUAUACUACUUCCCCUCACAGUACCGGCCUAAUUAUUGAUAGAACAAACUAAGCAGGAAGAGUUAAGGAAAGUGACGAGGGGGGCAUGAAAUCAUUGUUCUUUUGAUGGUUUUCGGAAGAGAAGAAUAACCCAUUAUAUCGUAAAUAGUAAGUUUUCUCUUCUUCUUAACCCGCACAAGCCAUUUCUGUCUUUCCCUUUACUCCUUUCUCUCUAUUUUACUGCCCACUUUUUUUUUUCUAAGCAUGAAAAGUUAGUGAAAGAGACGAAAACGCAAGAAGUCAUUGGCCUCAGUGUCAGUGGUUACGGAAAGGAGGAGCAAAUGAGGAUAGACAUGGAGUAAUUUGGUUUAGUGAAUUGAGAAGAAAAAACAAAGGAAAAUUAAUGAAAAUGAUUUGAAAACUUUAAGUUUUAACAAUAAGAAUAUAAAAAAAAGGUAAAGUAAAUGGUACCAUUAAUGAUUUUUUAAUGUAAAACUAUGAUGUUUUGUUAAAAUAAACAGUACCGAAAGACUAUAUUUUCGGUGAAAGAGGGGCAUAUACGGUGGAAGAGAGAGACAUAGGAGUACAAGGGGUUGGUGAGAUUUUUAGUCCCUGAAUUCAAAAGCAAUGAAGGUCGCAUUUACUGUAUUUGAAUACAUGCAGACCUGCAUGCAGCUGGCGGAAUUGGAUCCUCGCCGGAUUUAAUUGCUGGGGAUCCUAGGGAUCAAUUCACGUGGACCGUUGAUAAAAAAUCGUGUCGUCACAAUUAAAUAUUUUAAAAGUAAAACAGUUUCGUUUUGCGUGAAAAAUAUAAAAAAGAAAAAAAUUGUGACCGCACGAUUUUUAAUCAACGGCCCACAUGGAUUGAUCCCUAGGAUCCCCAUGAAUUAGAUCCGGCGAGGAUCCAAUUCCGCAGCUGGCCCCUCUGCCCGGGAAGAUUGUGGGAAGAUUGGGGUCUUGACUUUUCUCUCUUAACUAAUUUACCUUAGCUUGGGCUUUCUGUUUUAAAAAUAACAAAACGUAGGCCCAUAUACUGUUGGUAUUUGGGAGAUGUAGACUAGAUUCAGAAACUUUAACGAAAAACUACUGAUACUGUUUAUUUUAACAAAAAAUCAUAUUUUUACAUUAAAAAAUCAAUCAUGAUACUAAUCAUUUUACCCUUUAUUUUUUUCUUAUCGUUCAAACUCAAAGUUUUCAAAUCAUUUUCAUUAAUUUUCCUCUAUAUUUCUCUAUUUUUUAUGGAAAUAAAAUCAUUUAGUACUAUAUAACUUAUUUUCCAGGUAUGAUUUUUAUGGUCAAAUGGUUUUGGCCAUUUGUUAUCGAAUGCUUUUGACAUAAGGCUAUCGAUCCCCCUUCUUCUUUUGGUUCCCACCCUUAGGACUUGGUUUUAUAUGACGUUUUGUUUAUGUUCUACUUGAUAUGAUUCGAAAAUGUUUCUCGUUUAGAAAAGUAAAUGGGUAAAACACAACACAAUACGGUGCCACAUGUUGUCAAAUUUAUAACUAGGCACGAUAAGUUAACAUGUUCGUUUGACUUUGAAGCGUAUCUCACCUAACAUGAAUAUGACUAGUGAUAUUGUUAGCUAUGAAGAUUUUAUGAAAUCUACUUCUGCUAAAGCCCAUAAUCUCAUGCAACAAGAUAUUUUUUAGUGUAUCUAUAAAAUGAUGCGAAAAUGUAAAAAAUCAUAAUAUAAUUGGUUAACAUUUUUUCUUUCAAGUUUCUAAUUAAUUGUAUUACUACUCCAUGCAACCUCACGAAAUAACAAUAACUAAGGAAAGACAAUGGUUUUGCGGUGUGAUGGAGGAUGUUUUUGGGUCAAUUUCACUCACAAAUAAGUAGUUUUAUUUAUUAAAAAAAAAGGCGGACACAAGCCAAACUCUCCACUUACCAUUACAAAAGUUAACUUAUUUAAAAGAGUAAAUUAUAGCAAUAGUUCCUCAAUUUUAAUCAAAUUGGACCAAUAGUCUCUCGACUAAAAAUUCAUUACCAUUGAUCCCUCAACUCAUCAAAAUGUGUAGCUAUUGUCAUUUUCGUUAACUUUGUCAGAAUAAAUUAUUUUGGAAUGACUAUUGCUACAAUUGGGAUCCCUCAACUCAUCAAAACGUGUAGCUAUGAUCAUUUUCGUCAACUUAGUCAGAAUUUUAUCAAAAUGAGUUAUGUUGGAAUGACCAUUGCUACAAUUGAGUUAAAGUUGAGGGAUCAUUGCUCUAAAUGAAUUAAAGUUAAAGGAUCAUUACUACAAUUUACUCUAUUUAAAAUGGUAACGUAGAAGCUUUACAUCGUCAAGAUAAUAUUAAACAAUAUGAAAUCAGAAAAACAAUCUCACCAAAUAAGACUUUUUUUUUUUCAACAAUCAAACAAGAAUAUUAGAACAGGAAUCAUAACUGACUGAAAAUGCAUUUGGGACUUGACUUGCAAGGUUGUCAUGUUACUGCACAUUUCAUUUUUUUGGUACGCCAAAAAUACUGUUCAGUAUAUUAAAAUGUCAUAACAUAAGUAAUUGAAAGGGAUAUUUUGGAUGUAGUCCUUAAUCCUUAACAUUCUUUGACUAAAACCUUAAUGCUAUGCAAAGUUUGAUCAAAGUCUAUUGACUUUGUACACCUCAUUAUAUUACAAUUAAUACUUAUAUUUUUAUAGUUUUGACAUUAAUUGUUUGAUAUUUUAUGAGAUUUAUAUUCCUAUAAAUUUAAAAUUCCUCAUUAUAAUACCAUUAGAAACGGUUACAAUAAAAAAAUUCAAACAUUUUGAUUGAAUAAAUGGAUAAAAACUGUUGAUACAUAAGACCGGAGGUAUUGGAACAACGUAAAUCCGACCGUGAAUCUGCAGGAAAUGUAAAUAACAUAAGAUGUAUCGUGGUUCACCCCAAGGUUUGGGCUACGUCCACACUGAUAUUGUAUUUCUGAGGGAAAGAGAGCUCUGAGAGUGAGAGCUUUGAGAGGGAGGAGAGGGCCUAGUAAUUGGCCUCCUCUAAUUGUGAGGGUGAGAAGUCCUUUUAUAGAAUAAGGGUUCCUCACUUAUUACAUAUUUGCCCUUUCUUUUAUUACAUAAUUACAUUUAAGUCCCUUGAAUAUUUAUACGAUGUCUAAAUACAGAAACCCUAAGUAUGGUAUAAACAAAAACUAUGAAAAAAAUGAGAAAUAAUAAAUGGCAAAAGAAUGUAUCCAUAGUGUUAAAAAAAUUGGUACAUUUCACAUAUAACAAAGUGGUACAUUAAUAAAGAAGAAUUGGUACAUUAUAAAUAAAUUAAGAUACAGAUAAAAGAUUAAAAAAUUAUGAGUACAAAUGAAUUUUUAAAAAUAUAGGCACUAAAAGAAAUUAAUAAAUGGGUACAAAAUAAAAUUGAAAAGAAAAUACUACAAAUUUAAAAAAAUGUUGCAAAUUAAAAGUGGGUACAAACUAAAAAUAUAAAUAUAUGAUACAAAGUUUAGGCAUAAAACAUAAAUAUACCAUAUAUAAUUUUACUAUCAUUGAUUAAAUAUACAAUGUCACGUGACGGUAUACAUAUGGGUACAAACACAAAUCAAACUUUAAAAAAUAUGGGCACAAAAAAAACUAAUAUAUGGGUACAAACUAAAAAUAAAAAUAUAUGAUAAAAGAUUUAGCCAUAAAUAUAAAUAUACUAAUUGUAGCAUUUUUAACACUAAAGGAAUAUAUUUAAAAAUAAAAAAUAUUUUAUUAUUCAAAUAAUUAACGAUGUUAUUAAUAUCUAAGAACGUUUAUCAAAAAUAAAAAUAAAAAAAGGAUUUUUGUCAAUGAAUAAGUAAAAAAAAAGAUAUGUACCUAAUUUUUUCUAAUUGAAAAUUUAGAAAAUAUUGAACUACCUAAAUUACUGUAUCAAAUCACUUUUCACAUCAGUAUUUCACUUUCACUUGCCCAUUCUGAUUUCAAAAGGUACCAGACAAAUUCAUUGGAAUGGCCACAGACAGGCGUGCUUUGUACGCCACCACACUUUUUUUUUAAUAUUUCAUUUGCAUUUUUACCUUUCCAAGAUAUUUGAUUCGAAUUCUUGAAUUCUUUUGAUUCCCAGAACAAAACGUAAUACGAAAUGGAAUAGGAUCCUUUUUGUAGAGAUCAAAAAAAUCAAAUCGUGUUUGCACAUUUUCCGAUUAAAAAUUAUUUUAAAUUUUUAAUUUAAAAUUAAAUAUAAAUAAUGCUUAACAAAAAUUAAUCUCGAUACGUGCGUGAAAAAUAGACACAAUUGAUUAAUUCUUGAAUCUCCACAAUAACAAUUCGGAGAAGAUCCUUGUCCAUACGAAAUAUUCGGUUAUAAAAAAACAUAAAAAGUUCGAGUAUAAUAGAGAAAAUCGGAGUGUCUUCUACCUUAAGGAUUUAGACCCACUAAAGACUUUAGUGUCCAAACCCUAAGGUUUAAUUCAUCUUAACUACUGAACUAUUGAUUGAUGUGUAAAAAAAUCAAAACCGUUGAUUUUGAUCAGGAAAAUGAAUUAAUGAAGACCGUUAGAUUAAAUUUAUGCGAUCCAGUUGUAUUCGGUUCUCAUUAAAGUACGGAAUUAGAGUCUAGUAUCAAUACAUCUGAUUUUUAUGUUUAGGUAUCAACACAAAAAUCUGAACUGCUAAUCGGUGUAUUGAUAGCUAGACUCCGAACACUAAAGUCCGGUGCCGGAUCCAAUUCCGUACCUUUAUUAACUAAGAGCAUCCACCGUUACAUACAUAUUAAGACCUAGUUUGGGAGUGAGAUGCUUAAAAAAAAAAGCACCUAUGAAAAAAAGCUGUGAGGGUUUUAAGUGUUUGGUAAACUGAAAAAAAAUGGCUUAUUUUGGAAGCUGCUGUGAGAAUAAGCUGAAAUCAAAGGAAAAAGCUGAAGCUGCUAUUUGCAGCUUUGGAAAACUGGCUUUUUUUCAAAGCACAUGGAGCUACAGAGCUCCUUUAAUGAAAAGACCCACUAUCAGACUGCUUUUUUUUCCAAAAGCACUUUUACAAAAAAAUUUACUCUCUGCUGCUUUAUUUCACAGCCGCUUAUUCUCACAGCAGUUUUUUUUCAAAGCACAGCAAUACCAAACCAGCCCUAAGAGUAUUCGCCAGCAUCUGAAUCGUCAAAAAUUCUUGACUAUUAACGAGGACAGGUUCAUCUUUAAACUAUUUUUCCUCUCUAAUAUUUGUUUUGUUCAAAUCCCCUGUGCUUCAGUUUCUUUAGUUUAAUAUAUAUUAUUCUAAUCACAUCAUCUAGUGAUAUUCUUCUUUAUUUAUGGUAAGUGAGAUUUAGGCUCGAAACUCAUCAAAACCAAAUUUAAACUACUUUAAGGUACAUUAUUGCAUGUGAAUCAUGAGACUUAACUUACUAUCUACUUAAUUAACGUAGAUAUUAUCAUUUUGUUAAAAACAAAUAAAUAUAAUUAUCCUAUUAUUUGUAUAAAAAAACCAAAAGAGAAAUUGAUACUUUACGGGAGGAAAAUCUGGCGGCUGGUCCAGUUCCAACCAGAAGAAAAUGUCUUAAUUUAUUUGACCUUCAAGCAAAAUGGUCUUUGCUUCUUGCUUUAUCUGCACUAGACGGACUUACUAAUUAAUUACUCUAACCGGAACUAAGUCCUUGUGGAUUUAAACGACGCAUAAUAUGGGCUUAGAUUAAUUAAUACUAACAAACAUUCGCACAACAGUUUGAGUUGAGAUUAUGAAUCCUUACGUAGCGAACUUUCAAGUGUUUAAAAAGAGUUCAAAUGACUCCCCGUAUUGCCAAUCGGAUUCUAUAAUAGAACCUCAACUUUAUUCAUCGUAUCGGAUUCGGGAAGCUGCAAACGUCUUGUAGAUUUCUUGAAAAGAGAUUCAACACAAAUUUUUUUAGCAUAAGAUAAUUGGAGAACGUAACACAGAAAUAUAAUUAAGAAGCUGCAACGAGAUAAAAUUCUCACAAUUAAUAAAUAAAUUAGAAAAUGGUAAACAAGGCAUAAGAUCAGAAAAUGGGCAAAUUAAAGUAACGAUUAACCAAAAACAGAUCAAGCAAAAAUAGCAUUCUGCAAUAAAAACACAGAUUAAAAUAAUUAUGAUAAAAUUAUCAUACAUUCUUACAACUUUUUGAAACUCAUCUCUUUCGCGUUACUCGGUAAUUUUCUCUUUUCGCUCCUGCUUCCUCCCUCAACUGAAAAAAAACAAACAAACAAACGAUUUGCUAGUAUGUAUGUGAAAAUAUGCAAGAGGAGAAAGGGAAAGGGAGAAACUUUAGAAAAUUGAAGGAAUGGGAGGGAUAGGAAAGAAAUUUUAUCUCUUGAAUUUGGAACAUACAAGAGAAGUUUCUUCUUUCCUACCCUUCCAUUCCAACAACUUCCUUAAAACCUUCCAAUCCCACCCAUCUUUUCUAACUGGAAUUAUGUGGAUUUUGUUCACCUCCUCCUCUUUAUAUACGCAGGGAAUGGUUGUGAGGAAGAAAUGCGAAGCUUCCCUUUUUACCCUUUAUCAUGUUGCUACUGCCCACCAAACCCUAAUCUUUUAAAUAUAUAUUUUUUUUUUUACCCUUUAUCACGUUGCUAGUUGCUACCCACUAAACCCUAAUCUUUUUAAAAUUUUAUUUUUGACAGAUUAUAUUCUGUUGUAA